rnacentral:misc_RNA from 1 species
GAGAGAGAGAGAGAGAGAGAGGCUGAAGAGCAUGAAUUAUUACGUAUAGAAGCAAGCAACAACAGUGAAGAAAAGAGAAAAAGAAAGAUUAGUGAAAAAGGUGUCUCUUUUGGGUUAUAAUUCUCUCUCCUCCUUUUUAUGUCUGAGUAUUCAUGUAAGAAAUGAGACGCUGUGGAUUCAUCAUCGACUUCCACAAGACAAAGGCCAAGCUGAAAGGGAAUAACUGCAGCUGUGUGCUAAGUGAAGCUCCAACCUCAUGGAGCAGAUUCAAUAUCAUUCAUCCCUCAUCAAUCAACAAUUAUUGAAGACAAGAUUGAAGAAAAAAAUUGGAAACAGAAGAGAUGCGUUGGUUUGAGUUGAUAGGGAAACAGAAGGAUUUGGCUGCUUGCAUUUGCAUAUGUGGUGUCGUUUUCUUCUCAUUUUCUUUCAUUCAGACUGACAUUGUAUUUUACAAAUUUUCUUUGCUUGCUUCCUACUUUAUGUUAUUUCUGUACUAUGUUAACAUACUAUAAAUUUAUUAUAUUUAUAAAUUUUAAAAAUUUCUCAAUUAUA